rnacentral:rRNA from 1 species
GAUGAACGCUAGCGGCAGGCUUAACACAUGCAAGUCGAGGGGUAUAGUAGCAAUACUAGAGACCGGCGCACGGGUGCGUAACGCGUAUGCAAUCUACCUUAUACAGGGGGAUAGCCCAGAGAAAUUUGGAUUAAUACCCCAUAGUGUUAUUUGAUGGCAUCAUUAUAUAACUAAAGUUCCAACGGUAUAAGAUGAGCAUGCGUCCUAUUAGCUAGAUGGUAAGGUAACGGCUUACCAUGGCUAUGAUAGGUAGGGGUCCUGAGAGGGAGAUCCUCCACACUGGUACUGAGACACGGACCAGACUCCUACGGGAGGCAGCAGUGAGGAAUAUUGGACAAUGGGCGCAAGCCUGAUCCAGCCAUGCCGCGUGCAGGAAGACGGUCCUAUGGAUUGUAAACUGCUUUUGUACGGGAAGAAACACUCCCUCGUGAGGGAGCUUGACGGUACCGUAAGAAUAAGGAUCGGCUAACUCCGUGCCAGCCGCCGCAGUAAGAC